CUAGUUGGCGGGGUAAAAGCCCACCAAGGCAACGACGGGUAGCUGGUCUGAGAGGACGAUCAGCCACACUGGAACUGAGACACGGUCCAGACUCCUACGGGAGGCAGCAGUGGGGAAUUUUGCACAAUGGGCGAAAGCCUGAUGCAGCAACGCCGCGUGUGUGAUGAAGGUCUUCGGAUCGUAAAGCACUUUCGACCGGGACGAAAACCCGUUGGCUAACAUCCAACGGCUUGACGGUACCGGGAGAAGAAGCACCGGCUAACUCUGUGCCAGCAGCCGCGGUAAUACAGAGGGUGCAAGCGUUGUUCGGAAUUAUUGGGCGUAAAGCGCGUGUAGGCGGUUUCGCAAGUCGGGUGUGAAAGCCCUCAGCUCAACUGAGGAAGUGCGCCCGAAACUGCGGAGCUUGAGUACCGGAGAGGAUGGCGGAAUUCCCCAAGUAGAGGUGAAAUUCGUAGAUAUGGGGAGGAACACCGGUGGCGAAGGCGGCCAUCUGGACGGAUACUGACGCUGAGACGCGAAAGCGUGGGUAGCAAACAGGAUUAGAUACCCUGGUAGUCCACGCCGUAAACGAUGAGAACUAGGUGUUGUGGGUGUUGACCCCCGCAGUGCCGAAGCCAACGCAUUAAGUUCUCCGCCUGGGAAGUACGGCCGCAAGGCUAAAACUCAAAGGAAUUGACG
rnacentral:rRNA from 1 species